UGGGGAAUCUUGCGCAAUGGCCUAACGGCUGACGCAGCGACGCCGCGUGUGGGAUGACGCCCUUCGGGGUGUAAACCACUGUUGCCCGGGACGAAGAGCGGACUUCAGUCCGCCUGACGGUACCGGGUGAGGAAGCACCGGCUAACUCCGUGCCAGCAGCCGCGGUAAUACGGAGGGUGCGAGCGUUGUCCGGAAUCACUGGGCGUAAAGGGCGCGUAGGCGGCUUUUUAAGGGUGCGGUGAAAGCCCGGGGCUUAACCCCGGGUCGGCCGUGCCGACUGAAAAGCUGGAGCACUGUAGAGGCAGGUGGAAUUCCGGGUGUAGCGGUGGAAUGCGUAGAGAUCCGGAAGAACACCAGUGGCGAAGGCGGCCUGCUGGGCAGUUGCUGACGCUGAGGCGCGACAGCGUGGGGAGCAAACAGG
rnacentral:rRNA from 1 species